rnacentral:rRNA from 1 species
AUUGAACGCUGGCGGCAUGCCUUACACAUGCAAGUCGAACGGCAGCACGGGUGCUUGCACCUGGUGGCGAGUGGCGAACGGGUGAGUAAUACAUCGGAACAUGUCCUGUAGUGGGGGAUAGCCCGGCGAAAGCCGGAUUAAUACCGCAUACGAUCUACGGAUGAAAGCGGGGGACCUUCGGGCCUCGCGCUAUAGGGUUGGCCGAUGGCUGAUUAGCUAGUUGGUGGGGUAAAGGCCUACCAAGGCGACGAUCAGUAGCUGGUCUGAGAGGACGACCAGCCAAACUGGGACUGAGACACGGCCCCGACUCCUACGGGAGGCAGCAGUGGGGAAUUUUGGACAAUGGGCGAAAGCCUGAUCCAGCAAUGCCGCGUGUGUGAAGAAGGCCUUCGGGUUUUAAAGCACUUUUGUCCGGGAAGAAAACCUUGGCCCUAAUACGGUCGGGGGAUGACGGUACCGGAAGAAUAAGCACCGGCUAACUACGUG